UGUGACAAAGCUAAGUGACACUGUGUGAC
rnacentral:piRNA from 1 species